ACGAACGCUGGCGGCGCGCCUAACACCUGCAAGUCGAACGAGCGAGAGGAGGUUUACUUUCUCACGCGAGUGGCGAACGGGUGAGUAACGCGUGAGGAACCUGCCUCAAAGAGGGGGACAACAGUUGGAAACGACUGCUAAUACCGCAUAAGCCCACGACCCGGCAUCGGGUAGAGGGAAAAGGAGCAAUCCGCUUUGAGAUGGCCUCGCGUCCGAUUAGCUAGUUGGUGAGGUAAUGGCCCACCAAGGCGACGAUCGGUAGCCGGACUGAGAGGUUGAACGGCCACAUUGGGACUGAGACACGGCCCAGACUCCUACGGGAGGCAGCAGUGGGGAAUAUUGCACAAUGGGGGAAACCCUGAUGCAGCGACGCCGCGUGGAGGAAGAAGGUCUUCGGAUUGUAAACUCCUGUUGUUGAGGAAGAUAAUGACGGUACUCAACAAGGAAGUGACGGCUAACUACGUG
rnacentral:rRNA from 1 species